CUCCUAUUUAAACCUGCUUCAGUGCUCUUCAUUGCGUGCUGUUGUAGGCCGGUACAAUUACUUUGAACAAAUUAGAGUGCUUAAAGCAGGCUCCAAAUGCCUGAAUAUUUUGUGCAUGGAAUAAUGAAAUAAGACCUCUGUUCUACUUUCAUUGGUUUUUAGAUCAAGAGGUAAUGAUUAAUAGAAGCAGUUGGGGGGCAUUAGUAUUACGACGCGAGAGGUGAAAUUCUUGGACCGUCGUAAGACUAACUUAAGCGAAAGCAUUUGCCAAAAAUGUCUUCAUUAAUCAAGAACGAAAGUUAGAGGUUCGAAGGCGAUCAGAUACCGCCCUAGUUCUAACCAUAAACGAUGCCAGCUAGCAAUUGGGUGUAGCUACUAUUAUGGCUCUCUCAGUCGCUUCCCGGGAAACCAAAGCUUUUGGGCUCCGGGGGAAGUAUGGUUGCAAAGCUGAAACUUAAAGGAAUUGACGGAAGGGCACCACCAGGAGUGGAGCCUGCGGCUUAAUUUGACACAACACGGGAAAACUUACCAGGUCCGAACAUAAGCGUGUAAGACAGAUUGAUAGCUCUUUCUCGAAUCUAUGGGUGGUGGUGCAUGGCCGUUCUUAGUUCGUGGAGUGAUUUGUCUGGUUAAUUCCGAUAACGAACGAGACUCAAAUAUAUUAAAUAGAUGCUUUCAGGAUUAUGGUGUUUGAAGCUUUUAUAGCCUUCAUUCAUGAAUGCAGAACAUGUGUGAGUGUUUGAAUGUGUUUAUAAAGGUGGAGCCGUACCUGUUGGUUUGUCCCAUUAUAAGGACACUAGCUUCUUAAAUGGACAAAUUGCGUCUAGCAAUAAUGAGAUUGAGCAAUAACAGGUCUGUGAUGCCCUUAGAUGUCCUGGGCUGCACGCGCGCUACAAUGAAAGUAUCAACGUGUAUUUCCUAGACCGAGAGGUCCGGGUAAACCGCUGAACCACUUUCAUGCUUGGGAUUGUGAACUGAAACUGUUCACAUGAACUUGGAAUUCCCAGUAAGUGUGAGUCAUUAACUCGCAUUGAUUACGUCCCUGCCCUUUGUACACACCGCCCGUCGCUACUACCGAUUGAAUUAUUUAGUGAGGUCUCCGGACGUGAUCACUGUAACGCCUUGCGUGUUACGGAUUUUUCGCAAAAGUUGACCGAACUUGAUUAUUUAGAGGAAGUAAAAGUC
rnacentral:rRNA from 1 species